rnacentral:rRNA from 1 species
UUUUUCCACCGGAGCUUGCUCCACCGGAAAAAGAGGAGUGGCGAACGGGUGAGUAACACGUGGGUAACCUGCCCAUCAGAAGGGGAUAACACUUGGAAACAGGUGCUAAUACCGUAUAACAAUCAAAACCGCAUGGUUUUGAUUUGAAAGGCGCUUUCGGGUGUCGCUGAUGGAUGGACCCGCGGUGCAUUAGCUAGUUGGUGAGGUAACGGCUCACCAAGGCCACGAUGCAUAGCCGACCUGAGAGGGUGAUCGGCCACAUUGGGACUGAGACACGGCCCAAACUCCUACGGGAGGCAGCAGUAGGGAAUCUUCGGCAAUGGACGAAAGUCUGACCGAGCAACGCCGCGUGAGUGAAGAAGGUUUUCGGAUCGUAAAACUCUGUUGUUAGAGAAGAACAAGGAUGAGAGUAACUGUUCAUCCCUUGACGGUAUCUAACCAGAAAGCCACGGCUAACUACGUGCCAGCAGCCGCGGUAAUACGUAGGUGGCAAGCGUUGUCCGGAUUUAUUGGGCGUAAAGCGAGCGCAGGCGGUUUCUUAAGUCUGAUGUGAAAGCCCCCGGCUCAACCGGGGAGGGUCAUUGGAAACUGGGAGACUUGAGUGCAGAAGAGGAGAGUGGAAUUCCAUGUGUAGCGGUGAAAUGCGUAGAUAUAUGGAGGAACACCAGUGGCGAAGGCGGCUCUCUGGUCUGUAACUGACGCUGAGGCUCGAAAGCGUGGGGAGCAAACAGGAUUAGAUACCCUGGUAGUCCACGCCGUANACGAUGAGUGCUAAGUGUUGGAGGGUUUCCGNCCUUCAGUGCUGCAGCUAACGCAUUAAGCACUCCG